CAUACGCUUACUUAUUUUCUUCUAUUAGUUUUCUCAUUCGAAAACCGCAAGCUUCUCUAUCAUUAUCAACAGCAGCGAUAAAAGUCGGAUUCUUUGAUUAAUUUCCAAUGGUGAUAAUAAGUUGAUUCCAAAAGUGGAUUCUCAGUGAUUUUUAGUUUUACUUACGUUGGGUUUUGUGGAUUCUCAAUGAUUCCACAAGAGAGUUUCCAGAAGUUCCCCUUCCCAAAGAGUCAUGAUACAGGCUUUUGUGUAGGCUCCACAAGCAUGAUGUUACAUGUAUAUCAAGAAGCAAGAUAAGGGUCGAGAGAGAAACUGACGACCUUGGAGAGUUUUCUUUUUGUAUGGACCACCAGGAACCUGAAAAUCUUAUUUAACUAAGGUUGUUGCAACGGAUAAAAUUUAUAGCAUUUGUAUGACUCUUGAACUUCUUUCACACAGGUUAGGGUUGUUUCAAAUAUGUCAUUUGCAUUUAGUUACUGUUAGCGCACCUCUCUUGCACAACUUAUGCUGAACUUGAUGAGCAAAAACUAUAUUUUGACUGAAAGGUUGUGUUCGUAUUAGAUUAAAGGUAUUUUUCCUGC